rnacentral:sRNA from 14 species
ACUGGUCUUCAGUCAAGGGUAUAUGAGUAGCUGCACUCCCCUGCUAGAACCUCCAAACAAGCUCUCAAGGUCCAUUGUAGGAACGUAGGUUAGUAAAGC